CCCUUGGAAGUUCACACUACAUUUUAGCACGUUGUCAAGCUUUAAGAAGACUUGGAAUAAAGAAACAUAUUUAGUUUCCUUCUACCCAAUGUUACGCCUAUAAACACUUUAUGGAUCUUCCUAAAAGAAACUUCCCUGACCGGCUGGCUUGAUGAGAUUAGAUCAGGGGCCCCCAUAACCAUUUUGCAUGUUUUCUCAAACCAUUCAUCACCUCAAUGCUUACUUUUUCAUUAGGAUGAAAGCUCCAUUAGUCUGGCUUGUCCCCUACCUGGCACAGAGAAAAUUCUUGCCCCACCAAUGAGGGGGAUGCGUGUGGAAUAUUUCAGGACACACUUUGGGUCUGGAAGACUUUUCAUCCAACUUUAAAACUGGACAAGGACUAAGCAUAAUGCCCCAAAUGAAGUACGUGUUCAAUAAAUGUGUGCCCUCUUCUCUUCUUA